UACGGAGGGUGCGAGCGUUGUCCGGAAUCACUGGGCGUAAAGGGCUCGUAGGCGGUUUGUCACGUCGGGAGUGAAAACUCGGGGCUUAACCCCGAGCCUGCUUCCGAUACGGGCUGACUAGAGGUAUGCAGGGGAGAACGGAAUUCCUGGUGUAGCGGUGAAAUGCGCAGAUAUCAGGAGGAACACCGGUGGCGAAGGCGGUUCUCUGGGCAUUACCUGACGCUGAGGAGCGAAAGUGUGGGGAGCGAACAGG
rnacentral:rRNA from 1 species